UGACUUUUCACGAACUUUAAUUCUAUUCAUUAUUUAUUAGCUAUAUCUUCAACGAAAAUACUAAUGGUUGAAAGUUCAAAAUUUUAGAAGAGCUAAACUUUGCCGCUCGUUAAACUUUAUCCAUCUCCACUGACCUCUGAAGCACACCACUGACGAAACUUGAUGGCCAUGCCCUGCAUGUGCAAGUGACCUUUUUGCACGCUCUGCAAGGGCAUUGACACGCCGCAGUCUGCAGAGAUGAGAAGGCCCAGUGAUUGUGCA
rnacentral:lncRNA from 1 species